AUUGAACGCUGGCGGCAUGCCUUACACAUGCGAGUCGAACGGUAACAGGUCUUCGGAUGCUGACGAGUGGCGAACGGGUGAGUAAUACAUCGGAACGUGCCUAGUAGUGGGGGAUAACUACUCGAAAGAGUGGCUAAUACCGCAUGAGAUCUACGGAUGAAAGCAGGGGAUCGCAAGACCUUGUGCUACCAGAGCGGCCGAUGGCAGAUUAGGUAGUUGGUGGGAUAAAAGCUUACCAAGCCGACGAUCUGUAGCUGGUCUGAGAGGACGAUCAGCCACACUGGGACUGAGACACGGCCCAGACUCCUACGGGAGGCAGCAGUGGGGAAUUUUGGACAAUGGGCGAAAGCCUGAUCCAGCAAUGCCGCGUGCAGGAUGAAGGCCUUCGGGUUGUAAACUGCUUUUGUACGGAACGAAAAGCCCCGGGUUAAUACCCUGGGGUCAUGGCGGUACCGUAAGAAUAAGCACCGGCUAACUACGUGCCAGCAGCCGCCGUAA
rnacentral:rRNA from 1 species